rnacentral:rRNA from 1 species
UGCCAGCAGCCGCGGUAAUACGGAGGGGGCUAGCGUUGUCCGGAAUUACUGGGCGUAAAGGGCGCGUAGGCGGCUUUUCAAGUCAGGCGUGAAAGCCCCGGGCUCAACCUGGGAACUGCGUUUGAGACUGUUGAGCUUGAGACCGGGAGAGGUGAGUGGAAUUCCCAGUGUAGAGGUGAAAUUCGUAGAUAUUGGGAAGAACGCCAGUGGCGAAGGCGGCUCACUGGCCCGGAUCUGACGCUGAGGCGCGAAAGCGUGGGGAGCAAACAGGAUUAGAUA